GGUCACGUGACCAAGAGCUGCCUAGAGCAGAAGUCCUGCUAGUCGCCUCCAUCUGGGUACCAGCCCCUAUUACUCUGCAGGCGUGUGGAGGAAGAAGGAAACUAGUCCCGGACCGCGAGGUCGGUAGGAGCCUGGGCUCUGCUUAGAGGCGGCGGGGGUAGGAGAGGGCCAAGGGCGUCACGAAUUCAGGUUCGAGCUGAUCCGGGUUGUGUCCCCUUCUCAUCUACUUUCUAAAUGCCGGCGCCCCCCUCCCUCGUGCCCAUUUAGUAGAGAGAACUGGUGGACUUUGGGCGGGUGGUUAGAGGAGUGAAUGGCGGUUCCAGAGACUCCGAAGAAAGGUGCCACAAUUAGGGCACUCGUGUCCCGAGCGCUGCUCCGUCCACCAAACACUCCGUCCCCUGGGUUCCCUGUCUGUUUGCAGGUUUGUAGGUCUGUUGGCCCAUAGGACGCCUCAAAAGUCGUCCUGAGGGAAGGAGCAAACUGCCUUGGGACCCUGCAGUUUUUCAAAGCCGGCUCUCUGUCUUUCCAUCUGUCCUUCUGCCAGACUGUCCAUCAAUCUCUGUGGAAGGAGCACUGACAACCGAAGACAAGGGAAGAAGAAGGAAUUUACCUGACUUUGGUAGAGAUUCAUCACAAGAGAGCUACAGGAACCUGAGAGAGGCUGAAGAGGACUACACUCCACCAUUACUCACCCUGGCCUUAGCAUCCUCUUCAAUCAGGUGGAACAAGUCCCUCUCCCAUCCUACCCAA
rnacentral:lncRNA from 1 species